CUCAGAAGACUACUUUUACUUUACAACAAUGAUGCAAUUUUCAUGUCAAACCAUCAGGAUUGACGGGCAUGUGAGAUUUUCUAAAAUAGCAUCUUGACGAGUUAAAUGCAAAGUGAAUACAAAUGAUUUUACAAUAAGUCGUCUUUUAUCAUACGAAACCCAUCCAUGUUUAAUUACCAUUAAAGUUUUACAAAGAAAAUGGUAAAUUUUCGAAGUAAUAAAAACAACCGUUGUUUAAAACAGCCGUUGUGCUUUUCCCAUGGUGGACUUAAUAUGAAGGGAUCGCACGUUUUGCCAAUGCUUCUUCAACAAGGAAACCAAAAAGUUGAUUGAAAGAUGGACAUUAGAAGCCAA